ensembl:lncRNA
UCUAUCUGGGCUUUGGUGGUGCCUGAUUGUGCCCGUCCUGCUCCCUGCUGAAUCCAGCAUGGCCAGACCAGCAGCGAGGGCAGCUGCAGUCUCCUGAGAUGGGCAGAUGUCAACAGCAGAAUCUCCCUCAGGACAACGUUGCCCUGGAUUGAUGGGGAUAGCUAUGGGCUGGGAUAAAACCUGCUUUAUUUGGGAGCUGAUGCAGAGCCUGGUGGAGGGCAUGAGAGCCUGUCUGGUGAGCUGAACAGGCCGUGGAGAGUAUGUUCCUGUGGUAAAAAGGCUUCUAGCCCCAGCCUUGAUGUCCCCCCUCUGCCACCUGUCUGGGAGGCUCGUCUUCGUCUGUGGAGCAGCUUGCCUCCAGCUCCUGCCCCAUGGGAAGACGGCUACAAACAGGCUAGCGGAGGAGCCUCGGGGAGAGGUAUGGUGGUGGAUGCAUCGCAGGAGGCUGCGGCUGUGCUGUGGAGAUGUGGGGCCUCUUUGGCAUCAGCCCUCUCCUUCAACCCAGUGGCUGCUGGGUGCAGAGGAGCCUUGGAGAGCGGCUCCUGUGGGUGCCAGUCUGUGACACGGUGCCCAGGGAUGGCAACCUGCUGAUACAAAACCUGUGUUAUCUCUGAAGCUUUUGCCACCACCAAAAGGCCUGAUUUCUUGUGGCUUUUGCGGGACCAUUUCCUUGGCAGCACUGAUGUUCUGAACAGGGAUGCAGCUUGAAGCUGUCCCCAAGGAGGUGGUUGCCAGGUGAAGGAGGAAGCAUUUGUGCUUUGUUUUGCCCCUGAUCUGCAGCAAAUUCAGUUCUAGAAAUGAGCAUCUAGGAAAAAAAAUCUAAGAGGGGUGAAGAGGGAGGCAGAUUUGUCUACCUGGGGAAACUGGACUGAAUUCUCUUUCCUUCAGGCACAAGCAGAGACCUGGGCUCUGCCCRAUGGCUCUCCACAUGCCUGCUGCAGUCUUGGGGCUGGUGGGUUCAUGAUCACCAUGAUUGGCUUUGGCUGCUCGCUCCCAAUCCCUGGGAAAUCUUCUGCUGAAGCUGAGCCUGGGGCAGAAACCCCUAAUUCCUGGAGACACCAAGUCGUGGUGCCAACAGAGAUAGUGGAUUUAAGGCACAUGAAACUCUUCUUCCCUCUCUCCAUUCAACCACAGCACGCUGCAAAAGGAAGAAAUUACCUGUCUUUCUGCUCACUGAUGCCUGCCACUGAGAUCCCCUCUCCGCCACAGGCUAGAGAAUGGCUCAUGGGCCUGAAAGCUUUUCCUUUGUGUCCAGACAGAGCUGCUGGGCAAACAAAGGCCAGGGUUGGUGCCUACCUGCCUGGCCGUGCCUGCAGUGAGCGGCGCUGGCUUUGUGCAUGUGCAGAGGAUGUGGCCUGGGGCAGCUCCCGGCUGAGCUGGUAGAAAAACAGAUCUUGAUAACCUGUGCCUGAUGCUGCAGAGUUAAAGUUUCUAAAGGCGGGUUUAGGAGGUAGGUGCACAGUGCUCGGUCUCUGGGUCUCUGAGGAGUGACCGGGGGAAGCAGCGAGCUCGACGUGCACAUGUGGCCUCUGCCUCACCCCCUCAGUGCCAUGCAGCCAAGGAGACCAUGGCCACCCCGGGACUCGCAUCUCGCUGGGUCCCCACCAUGCGCAUCGUUGGGGCUGUCGAGGGUGCUGAGGACAGGCCGUUGUGACCCCCACGCCACUGCUGCCUCCCCUUGUCACUGUCCCCCGCGGUCAGGGGGUGAGCCUGGGGCCCUCAGUCCUGCUGGAGGAGGACACCCCACCAGGGGAACGUUUGCCACGUGCCGUCUCCCACAGCCUCCCGCUCCCCUUUCCUGAGGGACCCAUGCCAGCGUUGCGGGGCUGCGACACGGGACCCUGUCUGGACACCUGUGCUGAGGCCUYGCCUGUGGAGCCAGGUUAUUAUUAGAGCCCUUUCACAGGUUGUU